AGUUUUUUUCUUCAGCAUUAAGCAGCGCAACUGCUCAGCAGAGGGAAAUGGAAUCACGUCAAGUUGGUGAAGAAUCACUAGAUACUCCUUUAUUAGCAGACCAAGAAAUAUCAACUGAUUCAUCAAAGCAAGUAAAGUUGGGGUUUCUUACUGGCCUCGUUCCCAAAGAAAAGUCUUUGGCAUUUGAAAGGAUUAUAUUCCGAGCUACCAGGGGCAAUGUGUUUAUCAGGCAGGCUGCUAUUGAGGAGCCUGUAAUUGAUCCUGUUUCUGGGGAGAAGAUUGAGAAGAACGUAUUUGUUGUGUUCUAUUCUGGAGAAAGAGCUAAAACCAAAAUACUCAAAAU
rnacentral:misc_RNA from 1 species